ensembl:lncRNA LINC00632 long intergenic non-protein coding RNA 632
AGUGCGACAGACAGCCUCAGAGCUGGUGGGGAGACAGCAUGCCACUGGAAAAAUUCGUAGACAUGGAAUUCCUGGAUCAAAUGGAGGAGAUGGAAGAUUGAGAGCAGAGUGCAAGAAUGGGAAGAGGGCUUCGUGCCCUGUGCACGUUUGCCACCUAGUGACCAAACUGAAUGGUGUGCUUCUCACCUCAGCGUGAUAGCCUGACCUUGACUCCUGAGUUCCACGAUCGCUUCACAACUGCAAGUCACCAUCAUACAAAAUUUGAGUUUCCCUAAGUCCGCGCCUUUGAGAGCUUUGGAACGAUAUGCAAGUUCAAGUCACCAUCCUGUUUCUUGCUACCUCCUGUGAGAAGACCAACAUUUGGGUUACACUUGUUUCUACUCUUGUUCUUCUGCUUGUUAUUGUUGCCUCUGCAGCCAUUGAUCACACACGUGUUGUCAUACAAAAACUGGUUAGCCUUUUUAUUUGUCUUGUGAAUUUUAUCAUUUGGUUCUUAAGUAUUACAAAUUAAUAUUGUGUACUCUCAUUGAUAUACAACUUGCAGUCAUUGUAAAUAUGCGUGAGUUAGGGGUGAGAAUGGCAUGCAAGCAAAAGAACAAGGAGAGGGAUGAUAGAGAUGCAAGAAGAGUAAAGAGGGCAAGAAAGUUUAUGUUAAUAGCGAACACAAUGAAAGUUCUUUAAAUGCUUGAUAAUGGUGAAAGCAACACUUCCUAGGGCAUAUUUUUGGUGUUAAUGAACCUACACAUCAUACAAUAAAGAAAAUUGAGAAAGCAGUUGGGGCCAGUGAAUCGGGGGCACACAAGAAUCACUGAGAAAAUCAUACACAACUCAAAAUGCCACAAUAGGGAAAAUAUAAAGAGAUUUGCACUUGUGGCUUCUAAAACAGAGAAGGUUGAAUAGGUCUCUUUCUGUGUGUAAAAUCUGCCAGUGAGCAUCACAAAAAUGCAAAUUUAAAUUUCAAUCUGGAUGGAAAGUUAUAAAAUUCAUUGCAAGUAAUGGGUGGUUGGGUAGGUUUAAGAAAUGCCAGGUGGGUGGAUCACUUGAGGUCUGGAGUUUGCAACUAGCCUGGCCAACAUGGUGAAACCUUGUCUCUACUAAAAAUACAAAAAUUAGCCAGGAUUGGUGGCGGGUACCUGUAAUCUCAGCUACUCAGGAGGCUGAGGCAGGAGAAUCGCUUGAACCUAGGAGGCAGAGGUUGCAGUGAGCUGAGAUCGUGCCAUCGCACUCCAGCCUGGGUGACGAGAGCAAAGCUCUGUCUCAAAAAAAGAAAAGAAGAGAAGAGAAAAGAGAAGAGAAGAAAGAAGAGAAGAGAAGAGAAGAGAAGCUGUGGCCUGUAAUGAAAAGAAGUGGAGAAGUGACUGUCAGAGGAAGCAGAUUAAGGAGCUGCCGGAGAGUAUCCUGAAUACCUGAAGAAGACGAUUGAGGACAAUGGCAAUUUGCCUGAGCAGGUUGUCAGUGCUGCUGAAACUCUGGAAGCAAAUGCCUACUUGCACAUCUAUUGCAAAGCAUGAGAAAAGGACCAGAGGCUUCAAGCCUGGAAAAGACAAACUCAAAGUUCUGCUUUGUUCCAGUGUGUUCUGAUUAAACCCAUGUUGCUUUACAGAUUCCAAAAUUGUUACCUUCUUUAAAGAGAAAGCCAGAAACACUUUUCUGUGUACAUGAAGGGAAACCAUGAAAUAUGGAUCACUGAGAAACUCUUUUUGAACUGGUCUUUGAAGUGUUUUGUUCUGAGGUUAAAUAACAUUUAAAUGAAAAAAAAAUCUUGACUUCACAGUGUUGUGAUUCUGGACACUGCUCCUACAGACAAAAAUGCAGUCAUAAAUGCUGCUCCUUGUGUUCAAGUCAUCUCCAUUACCCCCAGUACGACUCCACUCCUUCAACUCUUGCAUCUGAGAGUGCUAGCGAUGUACUGUGCUCUGCAUGUAUUUUGACUACCUGAAGAUCUUAUCAGAGACACCAGAACUUUACCAUGAAAGUGGCUUGGCAACAUUUCUCCGUUUGUAAUGCUUUAACAGGUGUAGAAGAAUCAGUGAGACAAAUAAAACAAUCAAUACUUAAUGAAGUCUGGCAGAAAUUUUGGAAUGAGGUUGUGACUGAUUUGGAAGGUUUCCUUCCAGUGGUAGAAGAAAUUGAAAAUAUUGUAACAUCUGCAAACCAUUUGAAUAGUGAAGGCCUUGAAGACAUUGAGUUAAGUGACAUUACUGAAUUGUUAGACUCUCACCUUCAAAAGAUAGUUGAGAAAUAUUUUGGAGAUGUGAUCACAUCAAAAGGCAAUAGAAGAAGCCAGCAUAGGUUAACAUCCAGAACUCUAAGAAUGUUCAAGUAUCUACUCCACAAAUGAAAUUGUCACAAUGAUUCAAAAGAAAGAGAUCCUUUGGUGGGCUACAUAUUGACUUUCAGGUAAGGCUUAGAUGAUUACUUACAAUCCUAUAAAGCAGUAGUAAUAAACUUCCAAACAAACACCGAUAAGUAUUUUCUCUCUGCUUACUUGACAGGGGAGAAGAGGUUGACAUUAGGCCAUGUCAUUCAAACCCGUUCUGCAAACAGGAAAACAGGAAGUAGAAACGCCGCACACAGAUAGUUAAACCUUGGGAUUCAGACUCUGAUGGCUCUGAUGAUAUGGUGAUUUGUGUGCUGGGGAUGAAAGAGGAGCAGAAGACUGAGCUUACAUCUCUUCAGACGAAAUGCAAUUUUCUCUAUUCUUUCCCUGUUACUAUUGUUACGACCAAGCAUUUUCAUUGAUCCAUUAUCAUCUUCAUCUUGAGAUCACAAAGGAAGUUAAUUGCCUGAUAUCCACUCUUGUUAAUAUAAAAUAUCAAUGAUAUUUAUUUUAUUGUUUUAGUUUGGUGAACAAACUGAUUGUCUAGGCUUUCAUAAUACUCAUGUCCUUGCCUCAUUUUUUCCUAAAAAGUCUUAAAUUCCUCCAACAUGGGUACUCUGAGAGUUUCGGGAACUCAACUAUAGCAUUUAAGGAGUGGGCUGCUACUGUACUUGGCUGGAUAAUUUGAUUUUGUACUCCUGAAAUUUGUUUUAAUUCUGAUUAAGCCUAACUUGCGAUCUCACCAGAAAGGAUUAGUUUGGUAUAAGUUAAAUUAAUUUCUUUUCCAGCAAUUGUAUAUGUUAGCUAUUGGCUGAUCCUGAAAAGCAGUAUAUUUAUGUUAAAUUUCCAGAUUUCCUUUGGUAGCUAAUCAAGGAGGAACAGCUGCUAGAGUUCAUUUUCAUAGAUUCUUUCUGUUCUCAUAUCUGGCCUCCUCAGUGAUUUGAAGAAUUGAAUAUCCUCCAAAAAAUGGAUAUUAUUACCUCCUGUUCUCUGAUGGUGAUGGAGACUUCAUUCUCAGAUUGUUUUUAAAUUCCUUUCAUAAUUCCAUAUAUUUACUUCAUUUGAUUCAAUUGUGUUACAAAAGUUAUUGUCAUGGUUGUUUUAAUUUUGGAUGUUUGGAAUUUUCCAGGCAGAUUUAACAGAGGAAAAAAAACCACAAAGCCAGAGAUACGACGCUGUUAUCUUGUUCUAAGAAUUUUGGGCAAAGGCAUAGGCUGAACCUGCCUGUUCUUUUGGCUGCUUUACACAUUCCCAACUGAUGUCCAUUUUGAACUCAGUUGGACAGUUAUUCUGGGGAAUAGAGAGGAAGUCCAAAUAACAUCGCUGUUGUUUCUGUCUUAAUUGCUGUUUGUGCCGGAUUCACAGCACUGGCCUCAUCAUUAUAUCUGAUAAUGAUGCACAGAAAACCUGAAUAGAGAAAAGAAGAAAGAUAAUUCAUUGGCAUGUGCUUGCCAAAAAGAGACUUUAUAUAACUUGAGAAAGCAUAAAGACAACCUGGAAUGAGGAAAUGUAUGUACAGUAAUGAAAAAAAAAUGCUUUAAACAGCUGUGUCAAAAACUGACAUCAGAGAGUAAAUUGAAUUUGGUUUUGUAGGAAGCAGGAAGCAAGCCCACUCAAACGUUGAAAUUUGGCAUGAGGGAGUCCAGUAACUUUCUCCUCAAUCUGUGAACUAUAUGU